rnacentral:rRNA from 1 species
GACAGAGGAUGCAAGCGUUAUCCGGAAUGAUUGGGCGUAAAGCGUCUGUAGGUGGCUUUUUAAGUCCGCCGUCAAAUCCCAGGGCUCAACCCUGGACAGGCGGUGGAAACUACCAAGCUGGAGUACGGUAGGGGCAGAGGGAAUUUCCGGUGGAGCGGUGAAAUGCGUAGAGAUCGGAAAGAACAUCAGUGGCGAAGGCGUCUGCCUGGCACCAGACUGACACUUAAGUGCGAAAGCGUGGGGAGCAAACAGG